AUGUUGCAACUGAACAGCUUGAAUGUAACAGUCUGGCAUAUCCCAAACAAACUAACAGAUGGUUCCCAUAGCCUGGUAUAGUCCUCCUUUCUCUAAUAAACUUUUCUUCCUUUCAUCUAUACCACCCCACUAAAGUUAGAAUUUGACACCACUGGAAAUGGAUUGAGUGCACUGAGUAAUAAUAACAGCAACAAUAAAAAUGAAGUUAUUUUUUAUAUUCUUGCUAGAAUGUGGUCUGCUGCUGGGUUCCUUCCAACUGGGUCUGAACACAGACACUGUUCCUUGGUGCCAGAACAAAAGAGGACGGAGAUGCAAACAUGGUAGAGGAAGGGGCCAAAUGUUCACCAGGGUACAGGAAGCUGCCAUUGCAAACUUGUUUUUUGUAAAAUAAUGAAAUCAGAUUACGAGAAAUUCAUCAUCCAAGACAACACCAUAUCCAACAACAUUCCACGAGUCAGUCUGUCCACAUCGGCUUGCAUUCUCAAGCGAAACCAAUUCAGAAUGAAACAACCUUAUAAGGUGCCAUUUGAAAGAAACUCUCAAAGAAACAAAGAGCUCAGACGAGCAUAUGUGGAUGGAGUACUGGAAAUGGAUGCUCAUGCAAUCCCAUAUGAGUUAAUCUUUAAAGAUGAGGCUGGGUUCAACCUAGCAAAGACCAGAAGAAGGG